ACCCAGACUCCUACGGGAGGCAGCAGUGGGGAAUAUUGGGCAAUGGGCGCAAGCCUGACCCAGCAAUGCCGCGUGAAGGAAGAAGGCCUUCGGGUUGUAAACUUCUUUUAUCAGGGACGAAGGAUGUGACGGUACCUGAUGAAUAAGCUCCGGCUAACUACGUGCCAGCAGCCGCGGUAAUACGUAGGGAGCAAGCGUUAUCCGGAUUUAUUGGGUUUAAAGGGUGCGUAGGCGGUUUUUUAAGUUAGUGGUUAAACGUCGGGGCUUCACCUUGAUUUGCCAUUAAUACUGUAAGACUCGAGUUCAGACGAGGUAGGCGGAAUAAGUUAAGUAGCGGUGAAAUGCUUAGAUAUAACUUAGAACUCCGAUAGCGAAGGCAGCUUACCAGACUGCGACUGACGCUGAAGCACGAGAGCGUGGGUAGCGAACAGGAUUAGAUACCCGUGUAA
rnacentral:rRNA from 1 species